rnacentral:rRNA from 1 species
AGCGAACGCUGGCGGCAUGCCUAACACAUGCAAGUCGCACGGGGGGGCUUCGGCCUCCCAGUGGCGGACGGGUGAGGAACGCGUAGGGACCUGUCGAGGGGUGGGGGAUAACCGCGGGAAACUGCGGCUAAUACCGCAUGACGCCGCGGCGUGACAGCCGGGGCCAAAGGCGAAAGCCGCCCGCCGAGGGGCCUGCGUCCGAUUAGCUGGUUGGCGGGGUAGCGGCCCACCAAGGCGUCGAUCGGUAGCUGGUCUGAGAGGGUGAUCAGCCACACCGGGACUGAGACACGGCCCGGACUCCUACGGGAGGCAGCAGUGGGAAUAUUGGACAAUGGGCGCAAGCCUGAUCCAGCAAUGCCGCGUGGGUGAAGAAGGUCUUCGGAUUGUAAAGCCCUUUCGGCGGGGACGAUGGUGACGGUACCCGCAGAAGAAGCCCCGGCUAACUUCGUG